rnacentral:rRNA from 1 species
UCUGCCUGGUAGUGGGGGACGAACGUUUCGAAAGGAACGCUAAUACCGCAUACGUCCUACGGGAGAAGCAGGGACCUUCGGGCCUUGCGCUAUCAGAUGAGCCUAGGUCGGAUUAGCUAGUUGGUGAGGUAAUGGCUCACCAAGGCGACGAUCCGUAACUGGUCUGAGAGGAUGAUCAGUCACACUGGAACUGAGACACGGUCCAGACUCCUACGGGAGGCAGCAGGG